UACAGAGGGUGCGAGCGUUAAUCGGAAUUACUGGGCGUAAAGCGUGCGUAGGUGGUGAGUUAAGUCUGUCGUGAAAGCCCCGGGCUCAACCUGGGAAUGGCGAUGGAUACUGGCUCGCUAGAGUGCGGUAGAGGAGAGUGGAAUUCCCGGUGUAGCAGUGAAAUGCGUAGAGAUCGGGAGGAACAUCAGUUGCGAAGGCGGCUCUCUGGACCAGCACUGACACUGAGGCACGAAAGCGUGGGGAGCAAACAGG
rnacentral:rRNA from 1 species